AUCUACCUAGUAGUACGGAAUAGCCAUUAGAAAUGGUGGGUAAUACUGUAUAAUCCCCGAGGGGGAAAGAUUUAUCGCUAUUAGAUGAGCCUACGUUAGAUUAGCUAGUUGGUGAGGUAAUGGCUUACCAAGGCUAUGAUCUAUAGCUGGUCUGAGAGGACGAUCAGCCACACUGGAACUGAGAUACGGUCCAGACUCCUACGGGAGGCAGCAGUGGGGAAUAUUGGACAAUGGGCGAAAGCCUGAUCCAGCUAUGCCGCGUGAGUGAAGAAGGC
rnacentral:rRNA from 1 species